GCUAUGGCGGGGACGGUGUGCUGUGGAAGGGGUAGGGUGCGAGGGUGGUCGGGAAUGAUUGGGCGUAUGGGUGUCGUAGGGGUGUGUUGUCGGCUGCGGUGAAAACCUGGGGAUUAACCGUGGGCGUGCAGGGGGUAGUGGCAGGCGAGAGGUAGGUAGGGGGGAAUGGAAGUCGGGGUGGAGCGGUGAAAUGCGCAGAUAGCGGGAGGAACACCGGUGGCGAGGGCGGUUCUCAGCGCCUUACCUGACACUGAGGAGCGAAAGCGUGGGGAGCUAACAGGAUUAGAUACCCCAGUAGUC
rnacentral:rRNA from 1 species